rnacentral:pre_miRNA from 1 species
AAGCUGUGAGUUGUGGCAAGAUGUCGGCAUAGCCGUGUGAGACAUGUUUCCGGCUGUGCCACAUCCAGCCACCAUUCAUAGACC